CAGUCGCCGCGGGAAUACGUAGGUGGCAAGCGUUGUCCGGAAUUAUUGGGCGUAAAGCGCGCGCAGGUGGUUUAAUAAGUCUGAUGUGAAAGCCCACGGCUCAACCGUGGAGGGUCAUUGGAAACUGUUGAACUUGAGUGCAGGAGAGAAAAGUGGAAUUCCUAGUGUAGCGGUGAAAUGCGUAGAGAUUAGGAGGAACACCAGUGGCGAAGGCGGCUUUUUGGCCUGUAACUGACACUGAGGCGCGAAAGCGUGGGGAGCAAACAGGAUUAGAGACCCCGGUAGUCCCUGUCUCUUAUAC
rnacentral:rRNA from 1 species